GUCAGUUGGAGCUUUGGUGAAAAAAGAGCUGGCGACGCCAUUACGCAGAGAUGAGCAGCUGAGAGAGGGGAGACAUGUAAGCUGAAAAUUGCAUGAGAGAGUAAACAGAAGUGCAAAAUACAGCAGUGGAAGUGCAGCAAUUAACAACGCGAGGAGACAGCGGCACCAGGCGUCUGUGUUUCUAUGACAACCCCGCCUCCACGUUACCAAUGACCUGAAACCAGAGGGCUCCGAUCAGCGCAAAGCACUUGGUGGGCUUCUUUGGGUAUAUAGAAUUUUUAGCAGCCUUCUUUGCUCGUGGAAGAAGAAUGCUCACAGACACUAGAUCCACUGCCAGAGUUUCCUUCACCUGUCCUCUGCUCUACCCCACUGCCAGCACCCAGCAAGCCUCACAGUUGCCUGAAGCACGCACAAGGAGAGGACGUAAAAGGCCAUGUCAGGUUGGGAAUAGGUCUGAGCUGAUGACUCAGCAGAUUCAGGAGUCUGCCAAUCGGCUCAUGGAGAUGGAUGAGGAUGAGAAGAAGCACAUUGGGAGCACCAUAGCCAAAAAGCUACAGAUUCUGGAUCCUACAAGGAGGGCUGAAGCAGAGAGGAUUAUUUGGGAAGCUUUUUACCAGGCCACUGUUGGGACCCUUAACCAACAUACCUGGUUAACAAAUAACUCCCCCAGCCUAUCUGCACUGCCUCUAUGCCACAAUCAAUGGCAUAUCAACCCAGCCAAGAUCCCCAAUAUCCCCACUUUAAAAUGCACACACCAUCCCCUUCUGUGCAACCACACCCAGUGGUGCCGAGAGAGGGGGAGGGUACUAAUUACCCGGGCCCAGGUAAUAUGGAUGGGCCCUUACCUGGCAGCAGCAGCUGCAACUCUUCUCCUCAGCCCAGCACAUGCUGUUGUGUGCUGUGCUGCAGUAUAGCCAGGAAUGUGCUUAAAAUACAUGCAUAGCCACACCUCCUGUGAUUAGGCCACACCCCCUGAAUAGUACCUGGGCCCAGUCAGGCUCUCUACUGCCCUGACCACACCCUCCACCAACAUCAGUAGUGGCUACAGGUUAGUGGGUCCUUCAUGGGUUUUAGGGAAAUAUCAUCUUCCUCCCAACCAGCCCCUGAUACAAUGCACUAUCACAAUGUUUAAAAGCGGGCAUAGUUUUCAUAUAGAAAUGUUUUGUUAUUAGCUUUAGGUUUUGUUAU